rnacentral:misc_RNA from 1 species
GUGAAUCAUCGAAUCUUUGAACGCACAUGGCACCCUCUGGUAUUCCGGGGGGUACGCCUGUCCGAGCGUCAUUUCAAACCUCAAGCUCACGCUUGCUGUUGGACCUGGUCCCGCGGGACCUGUCUGCAACCGGUCGACGGUGCCGUCCGGCCCCCAGGCGUAGCAGUUGUAAUCGCUUCGGAGGCUCGGUCGGAAGCCAGUCAAGCCAACCCACCUAGAAGUUUGACCUCGGAUCAGGCGGGGAUACCCGCUGAACUUAAGCAUAUCAAUAAGCGGAGGA